CAGAGGGGGGGCUGAGAGCUGGACCUAUGAGAAGUACUGGACCUAUGUCCAAACUAGCAUUGUAGUGUUUAACCCACCUCGUUGACACUGCUCUGUGAUGGCAAGUCCAUGGCCUUCCUCAGCUUUUUUAUGGUCCUUGGCGUUUUAGAGGGUGUAUCCAGCUUUUAUCUGACGAGCUCAAACUGGCACCCUUUUGACAGGUCAGUGUCUCUUUUCUUUUCCAGUCCUUGAAUAUUGCCAUGUCAUGAUUUAAUCUUGCAAUUAAGUUGCAGCAUUUCCGACAGACUCGAAAUGAACGAAGAGCUGAGUUUAACAGAACUAAUCCUAACUUUGACAGUUGGCUGCAAAUAUUUUUUCUUUCGCUGUACUGUCAAAUAUUAGUUUAGAUGCACUAAUUUUACCGUGGAUGCGCAGAUUUACGUCACAUAUUCUGCAAAAGUCUAUCACAGCCAUCUUUGUUUUCGCCGCAUACCUGUGUUUACAGGGGAAGUUCGAGGCGGCUGAGCCAGUGCAUAACAUAUGUCAUAACCAAACGUUAUGUGAUUGGCUUACGGGUACACCAAUGAUUUUAAACUUCAGACAAACUCUACAUAUUGGAUGGCUUGAGAUUCCAUUGACGUUUCCUCACCUCUGUUUUCUAAUCGUUUGUUUUCUACUCUUUUCCUCCCCAACUUCUAAACAAAUGUAUGUUCAGACUGCAUGGUUCUGCUGUCUCACACUAUGCAGACUCUUACCGUGCUGCCCUCCAGGCAGACUUUAUGUCAUUGUGUGCUGCUGCCUGUCUCCAUCAGCCUGUUAAAGCUGUGGAGUAAUGAAUGAAUCCAUCUCCACACACUGACCGCACUGCCACCAUUGGACCAGAUUGGCCCAUAUAUCACAUUGUGAUAGCAGAAUGUCUUUACUUCUCAAAGAAACAUCUAUUCACAUACAGUGGGGUCCAAAUGUCUGCAGCUAGUUAAAAUGCUUCUACUGUACUUUUUUCCAGACGGAAACUGAUUAAACUGAAACAAACCUCCAAAAGGUUUGAAAUGCCACAAAUGGUCCCUCAGUUUGACUUCGGGGUGGAUGGAAUUGCUUGUUAUAUGAGACCCGUCCAGCUGGGAGAGUCUGUUUACCUGUAAUUUCCUCCUGCUGGUUUGGAAUCUCUAUUAAAGCUCUACUAAAGGUCAGAGAAAAAAAGGCCAAUCACUCCUAAAAAUAGAAAAAAAAGCUUGCAUUGAUGACUUAAAGUUCAUUUAGACAUUGUGUAAAUUAAUAUAGGCAAAAAUAUCAAAUUAGGCUUCCAAAGGAUUUCCAGUGAAUAAGUAUUAGUCAUUAAAUCCAGAAUAACACUGCAAACUCUUUUUAAGGACUUUACUAGAAUGUUUAACACACAUUUAUUGAUAUACAAUAUUGAUUCUAAUACACUUGUUAUAAACAACAAAUGUAGCUACUAUAUUAAACUCAUUGUUUGGUAUUAAUAUGUAGGGGAAAUAUCUAAUAAUGCAUCCAUAAGUUGUUAUCUAUGACCACUGUUGUAGAAAAUCUGAUUUCAGGUUGUUCUAAUGAUUGGUGCGCAUUUUAAGAGAUUUCUGCGAAUAUUACUUCUGCUUGCAGGGAUGAUAUACAGAUGGACUGAAUAUGCCAACCACUUCUUUUCAUUGGUACAUUAAACUGAUCAAGAUGCAAUUGAGACAAGUCUGAGCCAUCUGACAAGUUUCUUGCUGGCUGAGCUACCUUUAUAAUAUAUUGUAUAUAAUACAUAUUUGUUAUAUACACCACCUUCUAAAACAAAACUGUCUAAAGCUUAAAACAAAUACAUACAGUUCAAAUGCAUUUGAGAACAUUUUUCAUUCAUGUUUUAGCAAAGCCACUGAAUUACAGAGUGGAAGGACACUGGGGAUUCAAAGAUUUUGUAUUAAUCAAAGCAAAGCAUAUCCAUUCAAAAAAACAUUUUAAUCCUCUCAAAACUAUUCAACAUGAGGAUGGGAAGAGCCAACACAAUACUUUAAACUUUGAUGUGUUCCCUAAACGGUCUGGUGCUUUAAUUUAAAAUUACAAUUGCAAAAAUAACACCUCCUUUCUAAAGCCACAACAUUUGGUUUCCUUUUCUUUUUUCUUUUUUUUUCUUGGAUCACCUCAGAGUCCAUAUUGGGUCUUCUGGACAAUUUUACCAUUAUAUAUUUAAACAAAACACAAUCACUUUGAGGUGUUUUAAAAAGCAAAUAAAUUGUCAGUGCUCUAGAGAAAUGAGAAGGCA
ensembl:lncRNA